GACGAACCGUGCGAACGUUAUUCGGAUUCACUGGGCUUAAAGGGCGCGUAGGCGGCUCAGCAAGUCGGGGGUGAAAUCUUUCAGCUCAACUGGAAGAUAGCCUCCGAUACUGCUGUGACUCGAGUCCGGUAGGGGAGUGUGGAAUUCCCGGUGUAGCGGUGAAAUGCGCAGAGAUCGGGAGGAACACCCGUAGCGAAGGCGGCACUCUGGGCCGGUACUGACGCUGAGGAGCGAAAGCGUGGGGAGCAAACAGG
rnacentral:rRNA from 1 species